rnacentral:lncRNA from 1 species
GUGUUCUCAGAGUAGGAGGACUCGUCCACGGGAAAACAGACUCUCUUCUACUGUGUGUGGUCCUCCACUUGUCCCGGUCAGGCACAUUGUGGUCUGGAAAGGCAGAUGGGAAAUAAAUUAGGGGAACAGCAACUUUUCAGAGAAGGCCAGCGAAACUAGCGUGCUGUGUGCUUCAAACAUUCGUGUCGGCUGCCUGCAUGAAAGUCAAAGUCAUUCAAAGCGAAAGUAUCAUUAUCAGGGAAAAGUGCCCAUGAGCAUGGAGCCUGAGGGACAAGCUUCCUCCUAAUUUUUAAAGAACAUGAGACACAAGCAAGCAGAUUUUGUGUCUUAGGACUUGGCAAGGCUUGGCCCCUAGGAUUUACUUCAUCAUCAGGACAGCAGGGCAAGACUCAGCAGGCAGAGCCGAGAAGCUGAGCACCCAGCAGCGGAGGCCCAGAGCAGGGGCAGGGCCAGCGGCCACCCUCAAAGAAGCCGGUCGGAGGAGGCAAGACUCAGCCGCAGUCUAGAAAGAGAAAAGGCAAAGCUCCCGCUCAGAGCCUCCAGGACCCCAGGCUGUCCCCAG